rnacentral:misc_RNA from 1 species
AAGUCGUAACAAGGUCUCCGUUGGUGAACCAGCGGAGGGAUCAUUGCUGGAAGCGCCGCAAGGUGCACCCAGAAACCCUUUGUGAACUUAUACCUAUAUCGUUGCCUCGGCGCUGGCUGCCUCUCCCUCGUGGAGGGGGCCCGCCUCUGGUCGCAAAAAGCCAGGGGAGGACAGCAGGCCCGCCGGUGGCCUAUUAAACUCUUGUAUUUAUUGAGUAAAACCUGAGUAAAUUUCUAAAUGAAUCAAAA